UACAGAGGGGGCAAGCGUUAUUCGGAAUUAUUGGGCGUAAAGGGCGCGUAGGCGGCUUUGCAAGUGACGGGUGAAAUCCCUCGGCUUAACCGAGGAACUGCCUGUCAGACUGUAAGGCUUGAGACCGGGAGAGGUGAGUGGAAUUCCCAGUGUAGCGGUGAAAUGCGUAGAUAUUGGGAGGAACACCAGUGGCGAAGGCGGCUCACUGGACCGGAACUGACGCUGAGGCGCGAAAGCGUGGGGAGCAAACAGG
rnacentral:rRNA from 1 species